CGGCCGGCGGAGCAGCUGCAGCUGCAGCUGCAGGAGGAGAUGUGCGAGCUGGGCAUCCGCCUCAAGGAGCUGGAGCUGGCGGCGCUCGUCGGGGACGGCUUCGACGCCAGGCAGUAUAAACUUCUGAAGGCACUGGAAGAAAAGAAGAUACAAAGCAUGAAAGCACUGCAGAACCUGAAAUAAUGGCCACCAACACAAUGAGGAUUAUUUCAGCUGAAUGUUCUGCCACUGUAUCUCUAUGGAGUAUUUUAAUGGACCUUCAAUAAUGGGUUUCUACUUAUUAGAUGCUAUUCUCCUAGCAAAUUAAAAAAUAUAGUAUAUUGUUGCA